GCUUUUGAUGGGCGUCGACCGGCGCACGGGUGAGUAACGCGUAUCCACCUGCCCCACCACUUGGGGAUAACCUUGCGAAAGUAAGACUAAUACCCAAUGACGUCUCUAGAGGACAUCUGAAAGAGAUUAAAGAUUUAUCGGUGAUGGAUGGGGAUGCGUCUGAUUAGCUUGUUGGCGGGGUAACGGCCCACCAAGGCUACGAUCAGUAGGGGUUCUGAGAGGAAGGUCCCCCACAUUGGAACUGAGACACGGUCCAAACUCCUACGGGAGGCAGCAGUGAGGAAUAUUGGUCAAUGGACGAGAGUCUGAACCAGCCAAGUAGCGUGCAGGAUGACGGCCCUAUGGGUUGUAAACUGCUUUUAUAAGGGAAUAAAGUGAGUCUCGUGAGGCUUUUUGCAUGUACCUUAUGAAUAAGGACCGGCUAAUUCCGUGCCAGCAGCCGCGGUAAUACGGAAGGUCCGGGCGUUAUCCGGAUUUAUUGGGUUUAAAGGGAGCGUAGGCCGGAGAUUAAGCGUGUUGUGAAAUGUAGAUGCUCAACAUCUGCACUGCAGCGCGAACUGGUUUCCUUGAGUACGCACAAAGUGGGCGGAAUUCGUGGUGUAGCGGUGAAAUGCUUAGAUAUCACGAAGAACUCCGAUUGCGAAGGCAGCUCACUGGAGCGCAACUGACGCUGAAGCUCGAAAGUGCGGGUAUCGAACAGGAUUAGAUACCCUGGUAGUCCGCACGGUAAACGAUGGAUGCCCGCUGUUGGUCUGAAUAGGUCAGCGGCCAAGCGAAAGCAUUAAGCAUCCCACCUGGGGAGUACGCCGGCAACGGUGAAACUCAAAGGAAUUGACG
rnacentral:rRNA from 1 species